rnacentral:rRNA from 1 species
AUUGAACGCUGGCGGCAGGCCUAACACAUGCAAGUCGAACGAGUGGCGGACGGGUGAGUAAUUUCUGGGCAACUGCCUGAUGGAGGGGUCUAACUACUGUAAACGGUAGCUAAUACCGCAUACCAUCGGAUGUGCCCAGAGGGGAUUAGCUAGUGGGGGGGGUAAUGGCUCACCUAGGCGACGAUCCCUAGCUGGUCUGAGAGGAUGACCAGCCACACUGGAACUGAGACACGGUCCAGACUCCUACGGGAGGCAGCAGUGGGGAAUAUUGCACAAUGGGCGAAAGCCUGAUGCAGCCAUGCCGCGUGUAUGAAGAAGGUCUUCGGGUUGUAAAGUACUUUCAGCGAGGAGGCGUUACUCGAAGAAGAAGCACCGGCUAACUCCGUGCCAGCAGCCGCGGUAAUAC